GUAGUCGUGGCCUAGUGGUUAAGGCAAUGGACGUGAAAUCCAUUAGGGUCUCCCUGUGCAGGUUUGCAACCUACUGGCCAUG
rnacentral:tRNA from 1 species